rnacentral:rRNA from 1 species
UAGGGAAUCUUCCGCAAUGGACGCAAGUCUGACGGAGCAACGCCGCGUGAGUGAAGAAGGAUUUCGGUUCGUAAAACUCUGUUGUUAGAGAAGAACAGCGCAUAGAGUAACUGUUAUGCGUGUGACGGUAUCUAACCAGAAAGCCACGGCUAACUACGUGCCAGCAGCCGCGGUAAUACGUAGGUGGCAAGCGUUGUCCGGAUUUAUUGGGCGUAAAGCGAGCGCAGGCGGUCAAUUAAGUCUGAUGUGAAAGCCCCCGGCUCAACCGGGGAGGGUCAUUGGAAACUGGUUGACUUAAGUGCAGGAGAGGAGAGUGGAAUUCCAUGUGUAGCGGUGAAAUGCGUAGAUAUAUGGAGGAACACCAGUGGCGAAGGCGACUCUCUGGUCUGUAACUGACGCUGAGGCUCGAAAGCGUGGGUAGCAAACAGG